UCCCGCAUUCCUUUCUACUCCGACGUUGUCAUACACAGGACUGCACAAAUCACCUCCGUGUCUAAUCUCGUUAGCACUCCCUCCACCCCACCUUUUUUUUUUUCCUUCUUGUCUGGCUUGUUCCUUUCUUCCCUCCCAACUAACUGCGCUUUUCGUGCAAGCCCAUCUAAGCGUGUAUCGUCCUCCAAACUUCCUGACACCGUACAACAGUCGCUUCGAAGUCAUAAGAGAACGCACCCACUCAGCAAUUUUUUUGCUUUUAUUCUAUUUUUUUUUUUCUGCCUGAAGCAAAAGUUAUUGCACGACGAUCAGAAAACUUCAGGCUUUUCUUCCCACUUGGUGGCCAUUCAUGUAAGAAAAACGGCCAGAAUAUUCCUCCCUUCUAAGAAGCUCUGUCUCUCUUCUAUCAGCUUUCCAUACAGGAAGUCCAUCAUGGAAGGAGAGACACAAAAGAGGAUUUUCGACGCAAAGGGAAAUGUGUCCACGAUAGAUUAGACGGCUAUUGAAUGAUCUAGAGGCGACGAUUCUGAAUGCUGCUGGUGCCCUUGUUUAAUGCUGUUGCUACUGUUGGGAGCCUGAGGUGGGCCGCCAUUCCUGCUGGCUUUCGGCCGGUGAACGAUGCCAGUGCGGCCAAUAUCUGACAGCGUCGAUUCCGAUGUCGCGAAUGGAUUAGCCGUCCAACCAGCUGACGAGACGGUCAUCUGAUCCUCGGGAUUAUACUGCAGACCGCUCCAUAGAUUGGACUGAUCCACUAGUCUCAGUAGAGGCACAGACUUUUUCGGCACUGGAUGACUUGCAUCAUUUUUUUGUUUUAGAGAUUGUUUUAUUAUUAUUUUUUUAAGAUUGUUGGAUUUUUGACAUAAUGAUGAGUUUAUACCUAGGUCUUUGAUGUUGUUUGUCCUGCAAUCCACCACGUUGCGAUAGCUCUCCGGUAAUUGGCGAGAAUUCCGUGGAAGACGAGUAAUAUGAAGCCUCUUUGGUGAUGGCGCCUGUUUAUUUGAUUUUUGUCACGAGAUGGUUAUCUUUUGGCCGAUCAUACACGCUUGUCAGAGACGA